AGCCCACGUGUCUGGCGCGCGCGUGCGUAGCACGUGAGCACUAAUUGAUAAUUGAGCUCACGUGGAACUACAGUCACGUGACCGAAGAGAAAACGGUGAUGGCUAAUUUAGUUUAGCACGCGUUUUAUUUACAAACAAAAUAAAAGCGUUCGGAGAUGGAAGCGAAAACGUGAAUAAACGCACGUUUUUACGUUGAAUUUACACCUUAAUAACAGGGCAGGCGUUAGGUUCCCUUUGGCUUGGUGCAGAAAUCUCGAUGUGGGCCCAUGACCUGCGUCGUACUGACAAGAUAUUUUCCUGAAUGGAGAAAGCCACUUCUUGUGGCGAAGGCAUCUCAAGGCUCUGUGCAAGGGCCUACUGAGGGCUCAACCUACAGGGGGUAGGAUCGGCCUAGAAACACCCUAAUUGGUCCGUUACGCUGAAUGCUGUGUGGCGGGCGCCGAGUGCAACACAACACCCCUGAAAAUAAAUGAAGCUUCCACGGCAAGGCGGUCUGCUGCAGGAAGAAAAACAGCCUCUUCGUCCUCCUCUGAAUGGGGAAAACAAAACAGCCGCACCAGCAGGGCGUGGCAUGGCGUGGCGUCGUCUUCAGACGGACGGACGACGCCUUCACCUAUUUUACCAGCUUUAUUUUAACGAAUAAAUCUCCUUAAUGCCCUCGAAACAUCAUUCAAUAAGCACUUAUUAAAGAAAGCACUCCAUGAUACACGACCGGGCUUUAUGUUUCUGAAUAACUCUUAGUCUUCAAAUUCAAGUUAAUGACUAAUAAACAAUUAAUCAGUUAGGUUUAAGGGCUUGAGGUUAGGCUCGGGGCCUGGUCUUUAGUGCUCAUAGCUUAGCUUAUGACUAAUAAUAUAUAAACAAAUGCCAUCUGCUUGUAUUUUCAGAAACACAAAGAUGUUCGUGAAGAAUGUUCAUAUGACGACUAGAUGUUUAGCCAGAGAUUUUUUUUUUCUUCUCAAUCUUAACAUCAACCCAGAAAUGUGUUUCAUCCCGACAUAAUGGCUUCUCAAAUGAUUAUUCCACAUAUAACCACAGCAAAUGACCAGUGCUAAUUUUAUUAAUAAGCAAAAAUGCUUCUAUUGAGCAAAGUAGAGUUUUGUUUUUUUAAGUUUUUCCCUAUAUCUGAAUGUUCUGUCCUGAGGACUUUCCUCUUGGUGGAAAACCUAUGGAGUAACC